rnacentral:miRNA from 2 species
AUGGCUCUGAUAUCAUGUUGGUUU